AGUCUGUGUGGUCAUUGAAAAGCUGCAUGAUAUCUUUGAGAAACAACCAACAGAAUAUAUUGUGAAGUACAUGGUAAGUACUGCUGCCUAGGUACAUAAUGUGCUAAGUGUUGUUUGCUGCUGCUGGAGAUGAGUUGAUAACUGUGAUCCUAACUGCAACCUGAAAAUAUGUUGAUGUCAGUUCUGCAUGCUGUGUCCAGCCAUCAUGAUGGACUCUAUUGCUCCUAUUGCUGAUGGAGACCCUGGUGCUGUCUGAUCUCUGUUACUUCUUGAGAACCUGCUGAAUUCCAAGAGAAGAAGAGUUUGCCCAUGGACCUGUCCUCUAAAACUGCAUCCGUGUCACUGAUACAUCCUGGAAGUAAACACCAUAGUGUAUCCAAGAUCACUGUUGCCUUGGGCCCACCAGCAACCAUCAUGGUGACCAUUAUACCUACAGAGGUCCUACCUGCACAGGAAAAUACCUGCCAACUGUAACUAUUUUGAUGUUGAGGAUCCAUCCUGCAACUAGAGAAGAGGUUUCUGUCCAAUUUUGACUUUUCAGUGAAACUAUGAUGACAAUGAUAACUUCAUGGCACUGCUGAGAAUGGCAGAAGAACUGAGACUUGAGGGCAUACAGGCUUGACCAACCCACAGCCAAGAGCGGUGAGAGGGAGAACUCUGGUGGCUCACCGUGAGCUUCCUUCAGGACCUUAACACCUGAGUGAAGUGAGCAGCUUUGUGAACACUUGCAACUUCCUACAAGAACCUAGAAGAAUAUAUUGCCAGCUGAGCCUGCUUUACAAUAUUAUCCAGCUGAAACAAAGAAUGGGUUUGGUGGGCUUCCCCAAUAUAAACAGAGUGCUGAAUUUUAAAUUUGUGCCUUCAUCAAAGA